rnacentral:rRNA from 1 species
AGUAUUUUGACUAUACAAAGGUAUUGAAAUAAGAUUUUAAUUGAAUGCUAAGAGAAUGGAAUUUCAGAAAAAAACUUUUUUCAAGUUAAAAAUUGAAAUUUUUUCAAUUUGUGCAGAAACAAUUAUUAAUAUUAAGGACAAGAAGACCCUAUGAAUUUAUAAAUUUUAUUUAAUAUGUAACUACUAUUGAAAAAAUUUUAGCUGGGGCGGCGGAAAAAUAUUUAAAACUUUUUUAAAAUAAAAUGACCCAUUAUUAAUGAUUAUAUGUUAAAUA